GUGGCUGUGGCUCAGUGGUGGAGCGCUUACCUCAAACGUGAGGCACUGGGUUUGAUCCUCAGCAUCACA
rnacentral:tRNA from 1 species